GAUGAACGCUGGCGGCGUGCCUAAUACAUGCAAGUCGAGCGAACGGACGAGAAGCUUGCUUCUCUGAUGUUAGCGGCGGACGGGUGAGUAACACGUGGAUAACCUACCUAUAAGACUGGGAUAACUUCGGGAAACCGGAGCUAAUACCGGAUGAUACUUCGAACCGCAUGGUUCAAAAGUGAAAGACGGUCUUGCGGUCACUUAUAGACGGAUCCGCGCUGCAUUAGCUAGUUGGUAAGGUAACGGCUUACCAAUGCAACGAUGCAUAGCCGACCUGAGAGGGUGCUCGGCCACCCUGGCACUGGGACACGGUCCAGACUCCUACGGGAGGCAGCAGUAGGGAAUCUUCCGCAAUGCGCUAAGGCCUGACGGAACCCCGCCGCUUGCGUGAUGAAGCUCUUCGGAUCGUAACACUCUGUUAUUAGGGAAGAACAUAUGUGUACGUACCUGUGCACAUCUUGACGGUCCCCAAUCAGAAAGCCACGGCUAACUACGUG
rnacentral:rRNA from 1 species